rnacentral:rRNA from 1 species
CUCGUAGGCGGCUCAGCAAGUCGGUCGUGAAAACCCGGGGCUCAACCCCGGGAGGCCGGUCGAUACUGCUGUGGCUAGGGUCCGGUAGAGGAGAAUGGAAUUCCCGGUGUAGCGGUGAAAUGCGCAGAUAUCGGGAGGAACACCAGUAGCGAAGGCGGUUCUCUGGGCCGGUACUGACGCUGAGGAGCGAAAGCGUGGGGAGCAAACA